AGAGGCUGUCGGACUCUGACUGCGCGGAGACCGCUGGACUCUGGUCGCGGCCUUAGUCCGCUGAUCCUCGCUUGGGUGCCCGCCCUUAGCGGCCCGGCGUUGAAUUCCGGGAAGUGGGAGCUUCAGGCUCGCUCCGUGCGGGUGAAGAGGAACAGAUGCUGCCAUGAAAGGGGUUUCCUAGAAAGUGGUGAAGAGACCAUAGCCUAAUGCAAGUAGAGAAUUGGGACCAGGAAAAAUAAAGCCAUGAAAUAAUGAGUCUGCUGUAUUAGAGUAAUGUGGAACAAGUGACAAUUUCAUUUUUUAAGAAUGCUGUUUGUACAAACAACCCCAUCAAAAAGUGGGCAAAGGACAUGAACAGACACUUCUCAAAAGAAGACAUUUAUGCAGCCAAAAAACACAUGAAAAAAUGCUCACCAUCACUGGCCAUCAGAGAAAUGCAAAUCAAAACCACAAUGAGAUACCAUCUCACACCAGUUAGAAUGGCGAUCAUUAAAAAGUCAGGAAACAACAGGUGCCGGAGAGGGUGUGGAGAAAUAGGAACACUUUUACACUGUUGGUGGGACUGUAAACUAGUUCAACCAUUGUGGAAG
rnacentral:lncRNA from 1 species